ensembl:lncRNA
GGAAGCGCUCGGGUCUGCUGACCAUAUAUAGACUAAGGUGUCUCCUUCCCCACGUGCAGGGAAUUUCUAAAGCGGAUUGCCAGGAAAUUGCUGUCCAAGCCUCCAGAAACAAGCCAGCGCUUAGAAGAGUUCUCGGCAGAAAAUGAUGUAACUUUCCACAGAAACAUUUGACCUCUGAUGGCUUCAGGUCUUCUAAGCCGAGAAGAAAAUGGCUAACUCAUGGGAUUUUCAGAGAUACCUGAUCCAGCCUGUAGGCUGAAGGGUUUGUUUGUUUUGUCUGCAUGUCAUUGCACAUGUGUAUAGUGACAAUAAAAUGCAUUCUAUUCUAUUUUCUUUCUCUCCUUUAAACUUAGCUUAAUAUUAGAAGCUGCCCUUAUUUACUUUUUUACACUAUUGUCUCAAAUUUGAAAUGUAACAUUUUAUCUCUGAGAUGUCAAACAUUUGGUCCGAGGACCAGACCAGACUCACCAAGGGAUCCAAUCCGGCUCACUGCAGGGCUUGAAGGGCUGGAAAGUUUAAAAUACAACGCAUCUGGGAAGUGUUCACAGCACUUCACUUGUUCUACUUUUUGCAUUGUUACAGCCUUAUUCCAAAAUGAAUACAUUCAUUUUUCUCACUUUGUAAAUAUGGGGUAUUAUGAUUGGAAAAAUUAAUGUAAUCCUUUUUUUUAGUGUAAGGCUGUAAAGUGACAAAAUGUAGAACAAGACAAGUGCUCUAAAUACAUCCACUGUAUGAUAUAUUCGGUUUUUCCUAAAAAACAACAACAAAAAAAACAAACCAAAAAACCCCCCAAAUGCUGCUAUUCCUGGUGUUAAAGAGUGAAAAUGUUUUCCAGCUGAAGUGGUGAGGGAAAGUACCAACAAGGUAGGUGGUGUAUCCUCUUGACAGGAAAUUAGAAAGGGAAAGUUGGUGGCGAAUUAAAGACAUACGGGAAAGCAUUUGAAGGAAGAGUCUAGAAAAAAAAAGAAAAAGACAAAAAAAAAGUGGGAAAUGAACAAAGUGCAAUGAAGAACUGAGAAGCUAAGUGUACAGCAAGAAAAAAUGUUUAGAGUGCAUUGAAUUUGAGUCUCGGCAAUAAAGGAAGGCGAAAAUAACUUGUCAAUUGGCUAGACAGAGAUCGAGCUGGAACGGAUGAGCAGCAGGUUGGGGUGAUUAAGGAUAGAGUUGGAAAUGUGCUAAUGAGUCAAGUCAGGGUGUUGACAAGUUGGAAGAAAUACUUUUGAGGAACUGAUGGGUGUAGAAAAUGUAAGAGAGAGUAAGAUGG